UUUAUUUGUUUUUGUCUUUUUUUAUUUCUUGUUUGGGGGGCAAGGAGGAGGAGUUCAAAAAUAUAUAUGUAUGUGUUUAGGCGUUCACGUUCGUUUCAGUGACAGCAACAAGGCCUGCGAAUAUUCAUCUAGAAGAAAAAUACACGAGAAGAGGAAACACAAACAAGUUACAUGACGAUGCUUUUGGUUAGUAAUGCGUAUGUACGUGUAAGUAAAUUUUUUGAUCAUGAUGCUGAAUAUGGCACAGAUGACGCAGUCGAUGAUGCUGCUACCGUUUGGCAUAGACACAACCUUUUAUACGUGUACUACCCAUCUGUACAUAUCUGCAAACAUACAUAUCUGUACAUUCAUUAAACAUGUGGGCGACAAAGAGACGUCGAUUGACUGAGCAGAUGUAGCAAUUCAAUGAGAUUAAGUUACAAUACUAUAUACAUAAACCUAUGUAUGUACAUAUAUAUAUUGUAUAUGCUUGUUUAACAAUAAAUUUUCUAAGUUCAAAUAUA